GUGGGUUUUCUUGAGGGACGACAUAUCUGCGAGAAAAGAAGAAAAAAAGGCCCGGAGCGGGUGCUUUCCCUCUGGGGAUGAUGGCGGCGUGGGGCAAAAAUAGCAACGUCUUUUUUGGGAAAUGGAAUUAAGGAUUGGUGAGCGGUCUCCCCGGGGUCCCGCUCGCUCAAAGCCUGGAUGGGAUUUAUUUUUUAUUCCUCGCUUUCCAUUCCAAGGAGGAUGUGAAAACAGCUCUUUGGCUCUUGUUUUAGACACAGUAGAAAAGCACCACAGGCAGUUUUUAAUUUCUCAGGACAAUUAUCCACAAAAUAUGAUCUUUUUCUUUUUAUUCUCGGAUUCAACAAGUCAAUCCCGGUCGAAUCUUCUUACUGUCCCUGUAUGUAAAAAUCCACUCCGGGAGGAUUGUUAACCCCCCCCUCCCAACCAGUGAGCUAAACCCGAUGGCCGUUGCUGUAGGAUGUGUGUGUGGGUUGGGAGGAAUUUUGUGAGAGGAAAAAACGUCCUCCUCACUCUGACUCCUUGGUCUGACCUGUGUCUAACAUGACGUCUGCUACGGCGAUCUACUACUGCUUCUACCACUGCUGCAUUCAUGGAAACGGCUCCUCUGCAGGGUGGGCGACCUGCUCGGAUUGCAGCUAGUGGGAGAAGGUGGGCGAGCAACUUGUUUUGUUCACCCGGGUUUUUUUUUACUGCAGCUGAGCCCCGGAGGUUUUUGCAAUGUCUCUCUUGCAACUGUCAACGAUACGAAGGAGGUUCUCCCCUGCAGAACCCUUUGACCCUUGAUCGCUCUUGAGUCUGGAAGCUCGUCUUGCGGCGGGCUGUUAACGCAUCAGAAAAGAUUUGGAUCAUACAAUCAUACAGACCUCCGUCUACAUUUGGCAACAUUGGUUUCAUAUCCCUGAUCUUAUUCCCGCUCAGUUUGUGUGUUGAGUUUUGUGUGUUUUGCUGUGGCUUGUGCGUAGCUGGUAAGCCGCAGGUCAGAUGGGGGAAAUUAUCACAUUCAAAUACAGUUUUGCAGCAUGCAUAGUUUGACUAUUUCUCAUACAGUAUAUUUAAAAUUCAAGAGGUCUUUUGAAGACCUUUGUCACAUGUCUUACCUGCUGAAUCUACAG
ensembl:lncRNA